rnacentral:rRNA from 1 species
UACAGAGGUGGCAAGCGUUGUUCGGAAUUACUGGGCGUAAAGGGCGCGUAGGCGGCCUUCUAAGUCAGACGUGAAAUCCCCCGGCUUAACCUGGGAACUGCGUCUGAUACUGGAGGGCUUGAGUGCGGGAGAGGGAUGUGGAAUUCCAGGUGUAGCGGUGAAAUGCGUAGAUAUCUGGAGGAACACCCGUGGCUAAGGCGGCUCUCUAGUACGGUACUGACGCUGAGACGCGAAAGCGUGGGGAGCGAACAGG